rnacentral:rRNA from 1 species
GAGCCCGGAGAUGGGCACUGAGACAAGGGCCCAGGCCCUAUGGGGCGCAGCAGGCGCGAAACCUCUGCAAUAGGCGAAAGCCUGACAGGGUUACUCUGAGUGACUUUCGCUAAGAAAGUCUUUUGGCACCUCUAAAAAGGGUGCAGAAUAAGGGGUGGGCAAGUCUGGUGUCAGCCGCCGCGGUAAUACCAGCACCCCGAGUGGUCGGGACGAUUAUUGGGCCUAAAGCAUCCGUAGCCGGUUCUGCAAGUCCCCCGUUAAAUCCAGCUGCUCAACAGAUGGGCCGCGGAGGAUACUACAGAGCUAGGAGGCAGGAGAGGCAAGCGGUACUCAGUGGGUAGGGGUAAAAUCCGUUGAUCCAUUGAAGACCACCAGUGGCGAAGGCGGCUUGCCAGAAUGCGCUCGACGGUGAGGGAUGAAAGCUGGGGGAGCAAACCGGAUUAGAUACCCGGGUAGUCCCAGCCGUAAACGAUGCAGACUCGGUGAUGGGUUGGCUUCGCGCUAACCCAGUGCCGCAGGGAAGCCGUUAAGUCUGCCGCCUGGGUAGUACGGUCGCAAGACUGAAACUUAAAGGAAUUGGCGGGGGAGCACCACAAGGGGUGAAGCCUGCGGUUCAAUUGGAGUCAACGCCGA